CAGCCGCCGCGGUAAUACGUAGGGUGCGAGCGUUAAUCGGAUUUACUGGGCGUAAAGCGUGCGCAGGCGGCCCGUUAAGACAGGUGUGAAAUCCCUGGGCUCAACCUAGGAAUUGCGCUUGUGACUGGCGGGCUCGAGUAUGGUAGAGGGGGGUGGAAUUCCUGGUGUAGCAGUGAAAUGCGUAGAGAUCAGGAGGAACACCGAUGGCGAAGGCAGCCCCCUGGGCCUGUACUGACGCUCAUGCACGAAAGCGUGGGGAGCAAACAGGAUUAGAUACCCUGGUAGUCCACGCCCUAAACGAUGGGUACUAGCCGUUUGGUGCGCGAGAGCGCUGAGUGGCGAAGCUAACGCGUGAAGUACCCCGCCUGGGGAGUACGGCCGCAAGGUUGAAACUUAAAGGAAUUGGCGGG
rnacentral:rRNA from 1 species